rnacentral:lncRNA from 1 species
AAGAAACAGGUCAGAUUUUCCAUGUCCGAAUCAUUAGCCCAGAAAGCUACCAUCACAGCCUUAUGUUUUAUUUUCCUUUUUCAUUCUUGGCAAGUUCCAGACUCCAGCAAAGAAGAGACUACAAUGGAACAAGCUUAAAACUACAAGGGCUCGUUUGGCUGCCAGAUAGCAUCAGGCUCAGAUAUGUGAAUGAUCAAACAAAAAUCUGACACCAUAUGGCUGCAACCACAGCUGCUUGUAAGAGAAAAAUCGGAAAACCCUCAUUCUCUCACAGACCUUGCCGGUUACCCUGCCUAGAAACAGGUCGGAUUUUCUAAGUCCGAAUCAUUAGCCCAGAAACCUACCAUCACAGCCUUAUGUUUUAUUUUCCUUUUUCUUCUGGGCAAGUUCCACAUCCAACAAAGAAGACUACAAUGGAACCGGCUUAAAACUACAAGGGGUCGUUUGGCUGCCGGAUAGCAUCAGGCUCAGUGAAUGAUCAAACAAGAAUCUGACACCACAUGGCUGCAACCACAGCUGCUUGUAAGAGAAAAAUCGGAAAACCCUCAUUCUCUCACAGACCUUGCGGGUUACCCUACCAAGAAACAGAUCCGAUUUUCUAUGUACGAAUCAUUAGCCCAGAAAGCUACCAUCACAGCCUUAUGUUUUAUUUUCCUUUUUCUUCUUGGCAAGUUCCACAGACUCCAACAAAGAAGACUACAAUGGAACCGGCUUUAAAACUACAAGGGGUCGUUUGGCUGCCAGAUAGCAUGAUAAGUUUUAGAGGAAAUAAAUUUUGGAGGGGAUAAUUUUACCUUUGUAUGGAUACUUUUUAGAAUGGGUGAAUAAGGGUUGAGAAAGAGAAAAA